rnacentral:lncRNA from 10 species
GUUCGGCAACAACUGGUACUGCUCCAGCUCCUGCACCAGCACCUGGGCCCUUCUCCAACACAGACCCGGUGAGAGGUACUGGGCGAUGAGGAAGUACAGCUCCAACUCCAUGAGAGGCACCGGGCCUCAGAACCAGGAAGAUCCGGAUAAAGACACUGUCUGCACUCUACUCAGAUGCCCUUUGAGUCUAUGCGCUGUUUCUGGGCUCAUCCUCCAGCCUCAACGUGUUUGCUGCCACACAGCAUGUCCUGUGGGACUGGAGAAAUAUGGAGAAUGCAGCACACUUGCUUCCUACUGAAGUGUGCCACACUUGGAUGCCAAGGAAGCUGCACUUGUUUUCAUUAAUUACUCUUCAAACACAACAUCCAGCAAACUUAAAUGGGGAGAUUCUCCUGGAUGAUUCUAUAGCCCAAGGGGCUUUCUCCCUAAGCCAUAUAUUGUGCCGCC